GGGAGCCGCGAUCCGGCCGCGCCGCCCGCACGCCGCCGCGCCCGCCCCAGCCCGCCCGGCCCCGCGGCGGGGCGCGAUGAGCCCGAGCGCGAGCCGGCCCGCCGGGGAGUGAGCGCGGGGCGCCCAGGGCGCGUUGCGCAGCUGCUCCUGCGCACAACCCCGCCGCGCCGCCGGCCCGCACUGGCCGCGGAGUGCAAGAGGCUCGUCCGUGCCCAGCGCCCGGCCGGCCGCGGGAGCAGGAAGCGCAGGCCACGCAGGACCCAACUGAAACAAAGUGUCGGCCGCCCGGCGCGGGCGCCCGCCCCGACCCUGCCCCUCCCGCCCGCAACUCCGCCGCCCACCAUGGCUUCCGAGGAGCUGUACGAGGUACAUCUCCGUUCAUGGAUGCAUUAACAGCCAAUGGGACAACCAACAUACAGACAUCUGUUACAGGAGUGACUGCCAGCAAAAGGAAAUUUAUUGACGACAGAAGAGACCAGCCUUUUGACAAGCGAUUGCGUUUCAGCGUGAGGCAAACAGAAAGUGCCUACAGAUACAGAGAUAUUGUGGUCAGGAAGCAGGAUGGCUUCACCCACAUCUUGUUAUCCACAAAGUCCUCAGAGAAUAACUCACUAAAUCCAGAGGUAAUGAGAGAAGUCCAGAGUGCUCUGAGCACGGCCGCUGCCGAUGACAGCAAGCUGGUACUGCUCAGCGCCGUUGGCAGCGUCUUCUGUUGUGGACUUGACUUUAUUUAUUUUAUACGACGUCUGACAGAUGACAGGAAAAGAGAAAGCACUAAAAUGGCAGAAGCUAUCAGAAACUUCGUGAAUACUUUCAUUCAAUUUAAGAAGCCCAUUAUUGUAGCAGUCAAUGGCCCAGCCAUUGGUCUAGGAGCAUCUAUAUUGCCUCUUUGCGAUGUGGUUUGGGCUAAUGAAAAGGCUUGGUUUCAAACACCCUAUACCACCUUCGGACAGAGUCCAGAUGGCUGUUCUACCGUUAUGUUUCCCAAGAUAAUGGGAGGAGCAUCUGCAAACGAGAUGCUGCUCAGUGGACGGAAGCUGACGGCGCAGGAGGCGUGUGGCAAGGGCCUGGUCUCCCAGGUGUUUUGGCCCGGGACAUUCACUCAGGAAGUGAUGGUUCGCAUUAAGGAGCUUGCCUCGUGCAAUCCAGUUGUGCUUGAGGAAUCCAAAGCCCUCGUGCGCUGCAACAUGAAGAUGGAGCUGGAGCAGGCCAACGAGAGGGAGUGUGAGGUGCUGAAGAAAAUCUGGGGCUCGGCCCAGGGGAUGGACUCCAUGUUAAAGUACUUGCAGAGGAAGAUCGAUGAGUUCUGAGUGUCGGGCUGCCCACUGGUGACACCGGGAUCGGGCUGAGCAGGAGUACAUCACCGGCUCCAGUUGCCCUGAUCCAUUCUCACAGCCUGAGACAAGCUCACCCGUAGCUUACGCUUGGAAGCAGGACUGGGAACAUCCACGCUAUUUAUUAUCGAGGAGUUUUAAAGUACUGUAACUUUAAAAUAAAUAACUACAAAGCUUCUUUGUCCAAACGUCAUUAUUUUAUACUUAUAUACACGCAGGUGUAAAAGUAUAAAGGUGAGCACUAGACUGCUCUUAGAAGCUCUAAUUUUUGUUUUCUUUGGCUAGUACUGUAUAAAAAACAGAAUUGUGUUUUAUUGGUUUUGGAUGACAGAAAAGUCUGGAAUAAUGUUUGUUUUCCUCAUUUCUUCCUUCUAGAACACAGAAUCUAAAGGGGUAUUAGCCAGCCUCGCCUCCCUGCCCCACGUAGAGA
rnacentral:sRNA from 1 species